ensembl:lncRNA
GAGCGUUCGAACGAAUUUAAAAUUUCAACCGACGCAAGGAAACGACCGAGGAGAGAGGAGUGGAGGAGAGAGGAGUGGAGGAGUGAGUGCGCCGCGCCGCGCAACAUCAUUUCCACAUUUGGUCUCGUCACGGAGAGAGCCGGAGCACACCGAGCCGAGCCGAACCGAGCCGAGCUUGGACACGGACAUGGACUUGAUACAUUUCUAAGGAUCCUAGCUGUGAUCUCGGGUCGCUGUUGCUUUUACCCCCGACUCCAGUCCACUGAAGAAUUUCCUCGGCGGUUCACACGUCUCCUGGACGCAUUGCUACCCCGACAGCGUCUCACCCUCGCUUCCAAACGGACUGCUGGAGAUAUCCUGAUUUCUUUUUUCCAUCACAUCGCAUAAAUAUUCCUAUAUAUAUAUAUAUGUAUAUGUAUAUAUCUAUAUAUACAUAUGCAUAUUCCUAAUUCUGUAUCAAGGAACUGGUGCGUUUUGAGAAUGAGACGUCACACACUACACUAACCGUCUCCUUCACGUGCGCUGAGCGUUAAGAAUAUGACCUAACGUGCCGGAUUUUCUAUUCUUUUUUUUUUUUUUUUUUUUUGGCUUUUUUUUUGUGUGUGUUGUUGUUGUUGUUGUCUUUCUUGGAUUCGCCAUGUGUCUCUCCUUUCAUUUGGGACUGCUUUAUUCUGGAAGACUCGGUUUGAUCAAUUUUUAAUCCUUUAUGCGUCGGCGAAAUAAAGAGGAAACAGAACAAGAGCGACGGAUCAACCGCAGAGACGAGAAAGAGGGGUAAAGAAAUAUAUAAAUAUAUAUAUAUACAUCUAUAUUGACGUGUAUAUAUAAUAAAACAACAAUAACAAGAAACAAAAAAACAAAAAUAAAUAAAUAAAUUAAAAAAAAAAUAAAAAAAAAAAAAACCCCACCGGGACGUUAAUAAGGGAGAGAUGAAUGUAUGAGACGCAGUGAAGACUGGAAGAAAGGAGACUGGAGGAGUGAAGACUCCUUGUGGGUUCCUCCUCCGCAGAGUGACUGGACUUUGUAGUGCUGUGGCCUGAAAAGUAUAGCAGCUGGAAACUCAAACCUGAUCCGCCUGCUCUCAGGUGGACACACACACACACACACACACACACACACACACACCAUGCUUUCAUUUCCCUUCUUUUGUGUGUCUGUUUAUUUGCCUGUCAGUCGAUAGUUCUUUCUUCUGCCGCUUGUUUAUCCGUCGCCUCGGGUGAGUGAGGCGAUCAUCGUCUGUAAUUGAGACCAGCGAUGAUUAAUUGAUCGACCUCUUAACGAUCCGUAUUGGCCUUUAUUGAUGAACUUUUCCCUACAUCACCAAGCAGCUCCAUCAGCGUGUGUGUGUGUGUGUGUGUGUGUUUGGGGCUUUGUUAUUCUCAUCUCUGCGGGACAAAGUGCACCCGCAAACAAAGCAGACACUGAUAGAUGCGUCUUUUGUGUGUAAUUAGCCAAACCCACACGGCAGUCAAUGAGAGAAUGGACUAAUGAA